rnacentral:rRNA from 1 species
UUACUAGAGUAGCACUCGCAUAUCAAUAAGCGGAGGAAAAGAAACUAACAAGGAUUCCCCUAGUAACGGCGAGUGAAGCGGGAAGAGCUCAAAUUUGAAAUCUUAAAGGGUUUCCCUUUACGAAUUGUAGUUUAAAGAAGUGUUUUCUGUUGAGGUUUUGGUAAAAGUUCUUUGGAAUAGGACAUCAUAGAGGGUGAGAAUCCCGUAUUUGACCUUUACUUUCAACUUUGUGAUACACUUUCAAAGAGUCGGAUUGUUUGGGAAUGCAGUCCAAAAUGGGUGGUAAAUUUCAUCUAAAGCUAAAUAUUGGCGAGAGACCGAUAGCGAACAAGUACCGUGAGGGAAAGAUGAAAAGAACUUUGAAAAGAGAGUUAAACAGUACGUGAAAUUGUCAAAAGGGAAGCGUUUGACACCAGUGUUGUUUUUCUGAAAAUCAAUUAAAGAACUGUUUAUGCUAAGCUGUUUAGACUUUAUCAGCUAUCUGUUUAGUUUUGAGCUUUUCUUUAAUGCACUUUUCAGUUAACAAGUCAACAUCAAUUUCUUUUGCUGUAAAAAAGCUUGAGGAAGGUGGCUUGAGAUUCGUCUUAAGUGUUUAUAGCCUCUUGCCUAUGCAGUCGGAGAGAUUGAGGUCUGCAGCGUAGAUCCUUCGGGGCUAAAUGCAUUUGUGCUAAGUUAUAGCAUUUUAUAGACAACUUGUUGACUAUGAUUUGUCUUGUAGCUUACUCGCUUAUGUUAUUUUACCUACGCUUAGGAUGUUGAGCGCAUGUCUCUCUCU